ACGCUCGACACCUACGAGAGGCAGCAGUGGGGAAUAUUGCACAAUGGGGGAAACCCUGAUGCAGCGACGCCGCGUGAGUGAAGAAGUAUUUCGGUAUGUAAAGCUCUAUCAGCAGGGAAGAAGAUGACGGUACCUGAGUAAGAAGCCCCGGCUAACUACGUGUCAGCAGCCGCGGUAAUCUGAGCGGGCUGGCAAGGC
rnacentral:rRNA from 1 species